GAUGAACGCUGGCGGCGUGCCUAAUACAUGCAAGUCGAGCGAACGGACGAGAAGCUUGCUUCUCUGAUGUUAGCGGCGGACGGGUGAGUAACACGUGGAUAACCUACCUAUAAGACUGGGAUAACUUCGGGAAACCGUAGCUAAUACCGGAUAAUAUUUUGAACCGCAUGGUUCAAAAGUGAAAGACGGUCUUGCUGUCACUUAUAGAUGGAUCCGCGCUGCAUUAGCUAGUUGGUAAGGUAACGGCUUACCAAGGCAACGAUGCAUAGCCGACCUGUGAGAGUGGUCGGCCACACUGGAACGGAGCCACGGUCCAGACGCCUACGGGAGGCAGCAGUAGGCAACCGGCGGCAAUGGGCGAAAGCCUGACGGAGCAACGCCGCGUGAGUUAUGACGGUGUUGGGAUCGUAAAACUCGGUUAUGAGGGAUAAACAGAUGUGGAAGUAGAUGAGCACAGCUUGACGGUACUUAAUCAGAAAGCCACGGCUAACUACGUG
rnacentral:rRNA from 1 species